rnacentral:lncRNA from 1 species
CAGACCCCAGCCUUAGGACACAUGUCAAUCAAAUAAUGAGAUUGUCCAAGUUACUGCUGGCAGAAUGAUUACUACUGGGCAACUGAUUUACUAUGAACCAUAGAACAUAAAACAUUCAUAUCACAUCUCAGGUGGUAAAACACCAAUUAAGGGCAAACAGCAUAUAGCUACAACACAUUCACAGAGCUCCAAAACUUUUCCAGAAAAACUACAAACAAGCCCCUCCACAGAACAAAAGAAACUUGAUAGCCAAUGCUAGAGAUGCCAGGGAACAGGAUCUUCACAGUGUGGGCAGCCCUAUACCUCUCUGGGUGGGCAGUUAAGUAAUAUCACAUACAUGGAGAAGUUUGUGUGAAUAAAAGAGUAAGUCAACAAAGGUCUCAGAGACAAAAGAGUCACUUUAAAAAAAAAGACAACUACUAGAUUCUUUCAGUGCCUAAAAGUCACCAAUGGCUAUAAUACAGUCUCGAAGCUCAGCCUGGGGUGGAAGUCAACAGUGAAGAAAUCUAUCUGAAUUUAAGAAGAAAAUGCCCAAGUCUUCAUAUCACAUGCACAAAACUCACAAAGUUUGAAAUUCAGUCAUUUCCAGCAGCUAACUUUGCAGUAAAGCACACAGAGGGUGAAAGCUUUGUGCUUGUGUGAAGACUGAAUAAAGGUUAUCGAAAUCUGGGGGAAAUCUAAACCUGUGUCUGUCCUGCACAACCAGGUCACAACUCUCCAGUGACCUUUCUGCUAAGUUGCUUAGAAUCAUUUGAGCUGUGAAACUUUCUGAUAUCAGUGACAAACCAUGUCUUGAAAACAGCAUCAUUUGGGAAUAAUAAAUCAGCAAAUGUGUAACAGGCCUAUUCACUUAAGAGUCCUGGACACUGCUAAAGACACUAUAUGAGGACUUCAUCAAAUAGUUCCCAAUUGGAUAAAGUAAGGAUUAUUUGCUUUCCAACUUAUAGAUGAAAUGGAGGCUUGGGUGGCAUCAGAAACCUCCAAAGUGCUAAGCAAGCAGCUCCUGCAGACUCUGCCCACCCUGAGAGCUCUGCCAUCUUUUCAAGCUCUGAUCUGGAUCCUCCACACAGAACCCAGUAAUAAUGAGCCACUGUGCGUAAGGAGGAGCACCACUGUUACUUGAUAAGUUGUAGCAAAUCUUCAGCAGAGAAGAAACGGUAGAGCUGUAUGUAGUGCAGGAGGAGUGAAGCAAAUAAAAGUUGUGCACCCAUUUGUCAGUACAGAAAACAGCAUACACAAAU